GGGCGCGUAGCUCAGCGGUAGAGCACCUCGUUUACACCGAGGGGGUCACAGGUCCAAUCCCUGUCGCGCCCA
rnacentral:tRNA from 1 species